UACGUAGGGGCCAAGCGUUGUCCGGAAUUAUUGGGCGUAAAGAGCUCGUAGGCGGUUUGUCGCGUCUGCUGUGAAAACGCGAGGCUUAACCUCGCGCCUGCAGUGGGUACGGGCAGACUAGAGUUCGGUAGGGGAGACUGGAAUUCCUGGUGUAGCGGUGAAAUGCGCAGAUAUCAGGAGGAACACCGGUGGCGAAGGCGGGUCUCUGGGCCGAUACUGACGCUGAGGAGCGAAAGCGUGGGGAGCGAACAGG
rnacentral:rRNA from 1 species